rnacentral:rRNA from 1 species
AUUGAACGCUGGCGGCAUGCUUUACACAUGCAAGUCGAACGGUAACAGGCCGCAAGGUGCUGACGAGUGGCGAACGGGUGCGUAAUGCAUCGGAACGUGCCCAGUCGUGGGGGAUAACUACUCGAAAGGGUAGCUAAUACCGCAUACGAUCUAUGGAUGAAAGCGGGGGACCGUAAGGCCUCGCGCGAUUGGAGCGGCCGAUGUCAGAUUAGGUAGUUGGUGGGGUAAAGGCUCACCAAGCCAACGAUCUGUAGCUGGUCUGAGAGGACGACCAGCCACACUGGGACUGAGACACGGCCCAGACUCCUACGGGAGGCAGCAGUGGGGAAUUUUGGACAAUGGGCGCAAGCCUGAUCCAGCAAUGCCGCGUGCAGGAAGAAGGCCUUCGGGUUGUAAACUGCUUUUGUACGGAACGAAACGGCUCUGGUUAAUACCCGGGGCUAAUGACGGUACCGUAAGAAUAAGCACCGGCUAACUACGUG